rnacentral:rRNA from 1 species
UACGUAGGGGGCAAGCGUUGUCCGGAUUUAUUGGGCGUAAAGAGCGUGUAGGCGGCCGUACAGGUCAGCUGUGAAAACUCGAGGCUCAACCUCGAGACGUCGGUUGAAACCGUACGGCUAGAGUCCGGAAGAGGAGAGUGGAAUUCCCGGUGUAGCGGUGAAAUGCGCAGAUAUCGGGAAGAACACCCGUGGCGAAGGCGGCUCUCUGGGACGGUACUGACGCUGAGGAGCGAAAGCGUGGGGAGCGAACAGG